GACGAGGGGUCCAAGCGUUGUUCGGAAUUAUUGGGCGUAAAGCGGGUGUAGGUGGCUCUAUAAGUCAGAAGUGAAAGCCCCGAGCUUAACUUGGGAAGUGCUUUUGAUACUGCAGAGCUUGAAUGUGGGAGAGGAUCGUGGAAUUCCAGGUGUAGUGGUGAAAUACGUAGAGAUUGGGAAGAACACCAGUGGCGAAGGCGGCUAUCUGGACGGUUACUGACGCUAAGACGCGAAAAGCGUGGGGAGCAAACAGG
rnacentral:rRNA from 1 species